CCUACGGGAGGCAGCAGUGAGGAAUAUUGGUCAAUGGCCGAGAGGCUGAACCAGCCAAGUAGCGUGAGGGAAGACGGCCCUACGGGUUGUAAACCUCUUUUGUCCGGGAGCAAAGCGAGUCACGUGUGACUCUUUGCGUGUACCGGAAGAAAAAGCAUCGGCUAACUCCGUGCCAGCAGCCGCGGUAAUACGGAGGAUGCGAGCGUUAUCCGGAUUUAGUGGGUUUAAAGGGGGCGAAGGCGGAGGUGCAAGUCAGCGGGAAAAUUGCGGGGCUCAACCCCGUACUGCCGUUGAAACUGCAUGCCUUGAGUGCGCGGGAAGUAUGCGGAAUGCGUCGUGUAGCGGUGAAAUGCAUAGAUAUGACGAAGAACUCCGAUUGCGAAGGCAGCAUACCGGCGCGCAACUGACGCUCAUGCACGAAAGCGCGGGUAUCGAACAGGAUUAGAUACCCCUGUAGUC
rnacentral:rRNA from 1 species